CCUACGGGGGUCAGCAGUGAGGAAUAUUGGUCAAUGGCCGGGAGGCUGAACCAGCCAAGUCGAGUGAGGGAAGACGGCCCUACGGGUUGUAAAACUCUUUUGUCAGGGAGCAAGGUGCAGGUCGGGACCGGCUGUGAGAGUAACUGAAGAAAAAGAAUCGGAUAACUCCGUGCCAGCAGCAGCGGUAAUACGGAGGAUGCGAGCGGAAUCCGGAUUUAGUGGGUUUAAAGGGUGCGCAGGCGGAGGCACAAGUCAGCGGUAAAAUCGCGGGGCACAACCCCGCUCCGCCGUUGAAAAUGUGUCCGUUGAGUGUGCGAAGGGUAGGCGGAAUGCGUGGUGUAGCGGUGAAAUGCAUAGAUAUCACGCAGACCUCCGAUCGCGAAGGCAGCCUACCGGCGCGCAACUGACGCUCAUGCACGAAAGCGUGGGUAUCGAACAGGAUUAGAUACCCUUGUAGUC
rnacentral:rRNA from 1 species